rnacentral:rRNA from 1 species
GAUGUCGUUAAGUCCGCUAACGAGCGCAACCCUCGCUGUGUGUUACAAGUGUCACACGGUACUGCCGGUAUUAAGUCGGAGGAAGGUGGGAUGACGUCAAGUCAGCAUGACCUUUAUAUCCAGGGCUACACACACGCUACAAUGGUCAGUACAAUAGGUUGCCAAGCCGCGAGGCGGAGCCAAUCCUAAAAAGCCGGCCUCAGUUCAGAUUGUAAGCUGCAACUCGCCUGCAUGAAGAUGGAGUUGCUAGUAACCGCAGGUCAGCAAUACUGCGGUGAAUACGUUCCCGGGUCUU